rnacentral:tRNA from 1 species
GGAUUAUAGUUUAAAUAAAACAGUUAUUUUGCAAAUAAAAAUUAUGUAUUUAAUCUGAA